AUGGCUCAGAUUGAACGCUGGCGGCAGGCUUAAUACAUGCAAGUCGAACGGUAGCAGCAGGAAGGCUUGCCUUCUGGCUGACGAGUGGCGGACGGGUGAGUAAUACCUGGGAAACUGCCUAUAAGAGGGGGACAACACCUGGAAACGGGUGCUAAUACCGCAUAAGCCCUGAGGGGAAAAGGAUGGGAAACCAUGCGCUUAUAGAUGUGCCCAGGAGGGAUUAGCUUGUUGGGAGGCAAAGGCUCACCAAGGCGACGAUCUCUAGCUGGUCUGAGAGGAUGAUCAGCCACAUUGGGACUGAGACACGGCCCAAACUCCUACGGGAGGCAGCAGUAGGGAAUAUUGCACAAUGGGGGAAACCCUGAUGCAGCCAUGCCGCGUGUGUGAAGAAAGGCCUUCGGGUUGUAAAGCACUUUCAGCGGGGAGGAAGGCGGAAGCUCCAACAGGGCUUUCCGUCAGACGCUACCCGCAGAAGAAGCGCCGGCUAACUCCGUGCCAGCAGCAGC
rnacentral:rRNA from 1 species